GUGCUCGCUUUGGCAGCACAUAUACUAAAAUUGGAAUGAUACAGAGAUUAGCAUGGCCCUGCGCAAGAAUGACAUGCAAAUUCGUGAAGCGUUCCAUAUUUUU
rnacentral:snRNA from 1 species